GAGGUAAGGUUACAACUAUCACUAGCCAUCGGAUGGAGCGGGUCCUUCGGAAGACACACACCGGAUUUUUGGUGCAAUUGCAUAACAUUGAAAAGGAAAUGACAGUGAACAUUUCCGCUGGAAAUAUUGAAUCAUUGCUAACAGAGUUUACGGAUAUAUUUGCAGAGCCACACGGACUUCCACCUCUUAGAUGUCAUGAUCAUCGGAUCCCACUAUUACCCGAGAAGGCAUCAACCAAUGUC
rnacentral:lncRNA from 1 species